AAAAUGACUCUUGGCAACGGAUAUCUAGGCUCUUGCAUCGAUGAAGAACGUAGCGAAAUGCGAUACUUGGUGUGAAUUGCAGAAUCCCGCGAAUCAUCGAGUUUUUGAACGCAAGUUGCGCCCGAAGCCAUUCGGCCGAGGGCACGUCUGCCUGGGUGUCACGC
rnacentral:rRNA from 1 species